ACUUAUAUUCUGUAGCAAGGUUAACCGAAUAGGGGAGCCGAAGGGAAACCGAGUCUUAACCGGGCGUUAAGUUGCAGGGUAUAGACCCGAAACCCGGUGAUCUAGCCAUGGGCAGGUUGAAGGUUGGGUAACACUAACUGGAGGACCGAACCGACUAAUGUUGAAAAAUUAGCGGAUGACUUGUGGCUGGGGGUGAAAGGCCAAUCAAACCGGGAGAUAGCUGGUUCUCCCCGAAAGCUAUUUAGGUAGCGCCUCGUGAAUUCAUCUCCGGGGGUAGAGCACUGUUUCGGCAAGGGGGUCAUCCCGACUUACCAACCCGAUGCAAACUGCGAAUACCGGAGAAUGUUAUCACGGGAGACACACGGCGGGUGCUAACGUCCGUCGUGAAGAGGGAAACAACCCAGACCGCCAGCUAAGGUCCCAAAGUCAUGGUUAAGUGGGAAACGAUGUGGGAAGGCCCAGACAGCCAGGAUGUUGGCUUAGAAGCAGCCAUCAUUUAAAGAAAGCGUAAUAGCUCACUGGUCGAGUCGGCCUGCGCGGAAGAUGUAACGGGGCUAAACCAUGCACCGAAGCUGCGGCAGCGACACUGUGUGUUGUUGGGUAGGGGAGCGUUCUGUAAGCCUGUGAAGGUGUACUGUGAGGUAUGCUGGAGGUAUCAGAAGUGCGAAUGCUGACAUAAGUAACGAUAAAGCGGGUGAAAAGCCCGCUCGCCGGAAGACCAAGGGUUCCUGUCCAACGUUAAUCGGGGCAGGGUGAGUCGACCCCUAAGGCGAGGCCGAAAGGCGUAGUCGAUGGGAAACAGGUUAAUAUUCCUGUACUUGGUGUUACUGCGAAGGGGGGACGGAGAAGGCUAUGUUGGCCGGGCGACGGUUGUCCCGGUUUAAGCGUGUAGGCUGGUUUUCCAGGCAAAUCCGGAAAAUCAAGGCUGAGGCGUGAUGACGAGGCACUACGGUGCUGAAGCAACAAAUGCCCUGCUUCCAGGAAAAGCCUCUAAGCAUCAGGUAACAUCAAAUCGUACCCCAAACCGACACAGGUGGUCAGGUAGAGAAUACCAAGGCGCUUGAGAGAACUCGGGUGAAGGAACUAGGCAAAAUGGUGCCGUAACUUCGGGAGAAGGCACGCUGAUAUGUAGGUGAAGUCCCUCGCGGAUGGAGCUGAAAUCAGUCGAAGAUACCAGCUGGCUGCAACUGUUUAUUAAAAACACAGCACUGUGCAAACACGAAAGUGGACGUAUACGGUGUGACGCCUGCCCGGUGCCGGAAGGUUAAUUGAUGGGGUCAGCGCAAGCGAAGCUCUUGAUCGAAGCCCCGGUAAACGGCGGCCGUAACUAUAACGGUCCUAAGGUAGCGAAAUUCCUUGUCGGGUAAGUUCCGACCUGCACGAAUGGCGUAAUGAUGGCCAGGCUGUCUCCACCCGAGACUCAGUGAAAUUGAACUCGCUGUGAAGAUGCAGUGUACCCGCGGCAAGACGGAAAGACCCCGUGAACCUUUACUAUAGCUUGACACUGAACAUUGAGCCUUGAUGUGUAGGAUAGGUGGGAGGCUUUGAAGUGUGGACGCCAGUCUGCAUGGAGCCGACCUUGAAAUACCACCCUUUAAUGUUUGAUGUUCUAACGUGGACCCGUGAUCCGGGUUGCGGACAGUGUCUGGUGGGUAGUUUGACUGGGGCGGUCUCCUCCUAAAGAGUAACGGAGGAGCACGAAGGUUGGCUAAUCCUGGUCGGACAUCAGGAGGUUAGUGCAAUGGCAUAAGCCAGCUUGACUGCGAGCGUGACGGCGCGAGCAGGUGCGAAAGCAGGUCAUAGUGAUCCGGUGGUUCUGAAUGGAAGGGCCAUCGCUCAACGGAUAAAAGGUACUCCGGGGAUAACAGGCUGAUACCGCCCAAGAGUUCAUAUCGACGGCGGUGUUUGGCACCUCGAUGUCGGCUCAUCACAUCCUGGGGCUGAAGUAGGUCCCAAGGGUAUGGCUGUUCGCCAUUUAAAGUGGUACGCGAGCUGGGUUUAGAACGUCGUGAGACAGUUCGGUCCCUAUCUGCCGUGGGCGCUGGAGAACUGAGGGGGGCUGCUCCUAGUACGAGAGGACCGGAGUGGACGCAUCACUGGUGUUCGGGUUGUCAUGCCAAUGGCACUGCCCGGUAGCUAAAUGCGGAAGAGAUAAGUGCUGAAAGCAUCUAAGCACGAAACUUGCCCCGAGAUGAGUUCUCCCUGACCCUUUAAGGGUCCUGAAGGAACGUUGAAGACGACGACGUUGAUAGGCCGGGUGUGUAAGCGCAGCGAUGCGUUGAGCUAACCGGUACUAAUGAACCGUGAGGCUUAACCUU
rnacentral:rRNA from 1 species